rnacentral:misc_RNA from 1 species
CAAAAGUCAGGAAUUUAUGGUCUUUUAAGAGCAUGUUGGAGAAAACCAGUUUAGGAAACUUGUUAUACCAUGUUGUGGAAUCUAAAUGACUAAGAAAGAGGGCUCAAAUAAGUAUUGUAAGUUAGAAAGCUGAAUAAACAGUUGUGGAGUUUGUAGCAAUUGAUAGAACUGAGAAGAACUAUAAAGCAACUAGUAACUAGCAGAUGGUAGGAGAAAAAGUGAG